rnacentral:rRNA from 1 species
CGCGAUUCGCCCUUCGGGGUGCCCAGGCGCGAAAACUUUGCAAUACACGAAAGUGUGACAGGGCUAUCCCGAGUGCCAUCCGCUGAGGAAGGCUUUUACCCAGUCUAGAACGCUGGGGGAAUAAGGAGAGGGCAAGUCUGGUGUCAGCCGCCGCGGUAAUACCAGCUCUCCGAGUGGUGUGGAUGUUUAUUGGGCCUAAAGCAUCCGUAGCUGGCUAAGUUAGUCCCUUGUUAAAUCCACCGAAUUAAUCGUUGGAUUGCGGGGGAUACUGCUUGGCUAGGGGACGAGAGAGGCAGACGGUAUUUCCGGGGUAGGGGUGAAAUCCUAUAAUCCCGGGAAGACCACCAGUGGCGAAGGCUGUCUGCUAGAACGCGCCCGACGGUGCGGGAUGAAAGCUGGGGGAGCGAACCGGAUUAGAUACCCGGGUAGUCCCAGCUGUAAACGAUGCAGGCUAGGUGUUUGGACGGCCACGUGCCGUUCUAGUGCCGCAGGGAAGCUGUUAAGCCUGCCGCCUGGGGAGUACGAUCGCAAGAUUGAAACUUAAAGGAAUUGGCGGGGGAGCAC